rnacentral:rRNA from 1 species
UACAGAGGUCUCAAGCGUUGUUCGGAUUCAUUGGGCGUAAAGAGCGUGUAGGCGGCUUUGCAAGUCCGUUGUGAAAACUCGAGGCUCAACCUCGAGACGCCGGUGGAAACUGCAAAGCUAGAGUCCGGAAGAGGAGAGUGGAAUUCCUGGUGUAGCGGUGAAAUGCGCAGAUAUCAGGAAGAACACCCGUGGCGAAGGCGGUUCUCUGGGACGGUACUGACGCUGAGACGCGAAAGCGUGGGGAGCGAACAGG